AAUAAAUUUCUAAAAAAAC
rnacentral:sRNA from 1 species